CAGCAGCAGCCACGGGAAUACAGAGGGUGCGAGCGUUAAUCGGAUUUACUGGGCGUAAAGCGUGCGUAGGCGGCUUUUUAAGUCGGAUGUGAAAUCCCUGAGCUUAACUUAGGAAUUGCAUUCGAUACUGGGAAGCUAGAGUAUGGGAGAGGAUGGUAGAAUUCCAGGUGUAGCGGUGAAAUGCGUAGAGAUCUGGAGGAAUACCGAUGGCGAAGGCAGCCAUCUGGCCUAAUACUGACGCUGAGGUACGAAAGCAUGGGGAGCAAACAGGAUUAGAUACCCCUGUAGUCCCUGUCUCUUAUAC
rnacentral:rRNA from 1 species